rnacentral:rRNA from 1 species
GACGAACGCUGGCGGCGCGCUUAACACAUGCAAGUCGAACGGAAAGGCCUGCUUUCCCUUGUGGAUUGCGGGUACUCGAGUGGCGAACGGGUGAGUAACACGUGAGUGAUCUGCCCCCAACUUGGGUAUAAGCCUGGGAAACUGGGUCUAAUUCCCGAUAGGACUGCAGGGUGGUGCCUGUGGUGGAAAUCGAUUUUCUAGUGGUUGGGGAUGAGCUCGCGGCCUAUUAGCUUGUUGGUGGGGUAAUGGCCUACCAAGGCGGCGACGGGUAGCCGGCCUGAGGGGGUGGACGGCGACAUUGAGACUGAGCAGCGGCCCAGAGUCCGACGGACGGCAGCAGUGGGGAAUAUAGGACAAUGGGGGGAAUCCUGAUGAAGCGGCGCCGGGUGGGGGAUGACGGCCUGCGGGUUGUAAGCACGUUUCGGCGGCGAGGAAGCCACCUGGUUGGGAGGGUGGUGACGGUAGUGGUAGAAUAAGCACCGGCUAACUACGUG